GACGAACGCUGGCGGCGUGCUUAACACAUGCAAGUCGAGCGGUAAGGCCCUUUCGGGGGUACACGAGCGGCGAACGGGUGAGUAACACGUGGGUGACCUGCCCUCAGCUCUGGGAUAAGCCUGGGAAACCGGGUCUAAUACUGGAUAUGACUCCAUGACGCAUGUUGUGGGGUGGAAAGCCUUGUGCGGCUGAGGAUGGGCCCGCGGCCUAUCAGCUUGUUGGUGGGGNGAUGGCCUACCAAGGCGACGACGGGUAGCCGGCCUGAGAGGGCGACCGGCCACACUGGGACUGAGACACGGCCCAGACUCCUACGGGAGGCAGCAGUGGGGAAUCUUGCGCAAUGGGCGAAAGCCUGACGCAGCGACGCCGCGUGAGGGAUGACGGCC
rnacentral:rRNA from 1 species